UUCCAGAGCAGACACCUCUGCUGGGUCGGGCUGUCUGUGCAUAAGCUCCAACUUCCAAUCUCCAUGUCAGAUAUCCCAUGUGAAUCCAUUUCCAUCGUCGCCGUAAUGCAUUCAACUUGUGCCGGAAGACAAACAGAAAAAUAAGUUGACUGCGCCCUGGAGAGAGUAGCGAUCGAUACUGAGAACUUCCAUUGAACCGAGUUUUCUGGCUCCAUUCAAUUUUGCAACCUGUUGGCGGCGGCACCUGAAUUCACUCCUGGGAAUAUCAAACUACUAACACGUUCCUCUCCGCCCUUCUUAAAUGUAAUCUCAGAAAAGGUUUGACGUGAGAUGGCAAAACGUAUUGCAACCCUUAUCAAUUUUCAUCUGGAUUCCGAGAAUUUCAUUGCAAUGCAAUGGAAUGGUUACUGUGAUGCGGAACGAGAGAAUGUAAAACUGGUUCACUAGGGAUUGAUGUCAAUUCUAUCAGUAAAGUCGCCCCAUUCUUUUCUCUUCGAAGAAAAUCGUCUUGUAACCUGAAGGACUUUCAUGCCAACCAUUAUAUCUUACCAGACAAAUAUUCAAGUGGGGUGCGUCAGUUGUUCGAAUCCGAAUGUCUCUCGAUUAGCGACGGGAGUUGGCCCUGAAGCUGAACUAUAAAAACCUCCGGUUACAACCAGUUAGUCGCAUACAUUCCUCCAAGUUUAAACCGUGACGACAAACGUUCUGUCGCUUCCGAAUUGGUUCGACGUCUUUCUAGCUGCAGCCCGGAGUAACCCCCCGAUCCUUUCAAAUGUUAUCUUUAGGCUCCGCUCUACUUCCUGUCGUCCUUGUAAUGUGCGUGUGGAAUAGCAAGGCAACUGUCCGCGGAAAAAAUUUGAACGGACCUGAUCGUUGCAAGAUUGGAUGUUUACUGGACGACUAUUAUCCGCUCUGUGGCACAGACAACAAGACUUACACCAACAAUUGCUUUCUCUAUCUGAAAAACAACUGCGAAAAGCCUCCCUUUUCAAAGGUCCACAAGGCAUACGACGGUGUGUGCGUGUCCGGUCAACAAGGAUGUGAACUGCCCUGUAAUGGUCCUGGAUAUCCGUUCAACCCCAUUUGCGGAUCCAACGGCAAGACUUAUGACAACGAGUGUGAGCUGAACGGCAGAAACAAGUGCGAUGGGACCAAGAUUGAAAAAGCUCACGACGGAGAAUGUGAACCGAGCCAACCUGAAGCUAUCCCUUAUCUAUAAAGAAGAAGACUACCGUGGAAUGUAUAGCUCGCUAUGUGAUGGGGGGGGGGGAAGGAUUGGGCGGCAAAAUGUACCCGGCUGUUAAUUACGUCAAUUUACUGCUGGAAUCACGUGGAUAGCAUCGUGAUAAGACAAGAACCGGUGAAUCCAGUUCAAAUGAAAUUAAAUGAUAAGUAUAUCUUGGUAUAAUUGCCUAGUAAUAUCUAAAUGUGUCUGUUUGGACAACAGACGAACCGAACCUGUUAUUGUUCUUGACAUAAUAUUUCAAAAUGAUUUAUAGAAAAUUUUAUAUGAUUUUAUUUGAAUAUUGUUGUGAAAAUGAUCCGUUAUGGAAUAAAAAUAAUGUUGGGGGGACCAACAUCCCGC